GACGAACGCUGGCGGCGUGCUUAACACAUGCAAGUCGAACGAAGUGGCGAACGGGUGAGUAAUACGUGAGUAACCUGCCCUCCUUUUUGGGAUAAGCUUCGGAAACGGGGUCUAAUACCGAAUAAAGGGGGAUGGGCUCGCGGCCUAUCAGGUUGUUGGUGGGGUGAUGGCCUACCAAGGCGGUGACGGGUAGCCGGCCUGGGAGGGUGACCGGCCAAAUUGGGAAUGGGGUACGGCCCAGAGGUCUACGGCAGGGAGGAAUGGGGGAUAUUGGACGAUGGGCGGAAGCCUGAUGCGGCGGCGCGGCGUGAGGGAUGAAGGCUUUCGGGUUAUAAACGUCUUUCGCUAUGGAACGGGUAGGUGGAGAAGAAGCGCCGGCUAACUACGUGCCAGCAGCCGCGGUAAUAC
rnacentral:rRNA from 1 species